rnacentral:piRNA from 1 species
UGGCAGAGAUUAGGUCACUUUAGACUAUGU